GCCCAAUGAUGAGACCAAGGCGAAUACGAGCUCACUGACUGAGAGCUGGGUUCUUCUUUGCCUUGACUGGCAGGUAAUCUUGGCAGUGCAGAGGAGGAUUUCUGCACUGCUGUAAGGGCCUGCCUACAGUGAACUAGCUUGACCCAAAUUAUUCCUCAACAGUCACAGUGGGGCAAUUCUUGGGAUAGUGCUGACAGAGUGUGUGCGUGUGCAUGCAUGUGAAUUUAUAAAAAGCAAGAAGUUCACCCUGCUCUCUUUGCUGUUCAGUUUGCCAUGAGUUUCCUCUUUGGUAAUCUGAGGGCC